rnacentral:lncRNA from 1 species
AUGUGGCUGGUCAUUGCCCAGCUCUCCAGUUUCUCCAGAUCUCGCUGCAAGUCCUUUCCACCCUCAGUGGAGUCAACAACUCCUCCCAGUUUAGUAUCAUCAGCAAAUUUGCUUAAAAUACCUUCUAGUCCUACGUCCAAAUCAUUUAUGAAAUCAUUGAAGAGAAGUGGCUCUAAAACGAAGCCUUGGGGGACCCCACUGAUGACCGGCCGCUGGCCUGAUGCAGCCCCAUUUACCGUAAACAUUCAAGAANNNNNNNNNNGCGGGAAGCGGCGCCCGGCAGCAGCGCGGCGCCAAGGGCGGGCGCCCUCCCUCGCGGCCUCCCUCUCUCCCUCUCGCCGAGCUCGGCUGGCGGCCCGCAGCGCGGCACUCCGGGACCGGCAGCGGCUGCUGCGGAGGACGCCGCGGACGACCGCUCGCCGCCGCCUCCCGGCUGCGCUGCGCUGCGCUGCGCUGGGCUCGGCCGCCUCCCCGCUCGCAGCCGCUCGCCGCCGCCUUGGCCACGAGCACCACCCUGCGGCCUGCGGCGGGACUGCUCCGGGACGGGACGCCGACUCGCAGCCUUGCACAAACGCCGGCGUGCUCACACAGCUUGUCUGCAAACUAUACCGCUACAAGGACUCUCCAGACUGCAGCAAGCUUUUUGUGGCUGGAAUAGCGCCCGGGUGUUCUUUCCAUGUCACCUUUACAGGAAAGCGUGUGCUAUGUGGCGGUGAUGCAGCUCAUGACUGCAGUACAAAGCAGCACGAGCUUUUCCAAAUGUUCACUGUCAUACCACCGAUGUUCUAGCAACCUGUUUCUCUUCCUAAGUUGCAAGUCCUUCUUCAGGGGAAUAGGUAACACCAUGCUCCAACACAACUCAUACAGGAAAAGAAAAUGGGAAAAAGGGGAAUGAAAGCUUUCUAACAGCAUGGAACUAAACCCAUGAAUAAUCAUGUCAGACUGAACUCUUGUCUCAUGGAGAAGCAAGAGCAAGUGGGAAGGAAAUGAUGGGAGAAAACUGGGAGACCAGUUUUUAACUUUGUCUAGGUAAUAGAGUCGUUGUUCAUUUACCUUAGAAUCCUGGCAAGCAGAAGUGCACAGUGCUUUAUAGCUAUCAUCGAUCUCAGCAUUGGGAGUGCUUCUAGAGCUUUCAGGCAUUCUCCAGGAGAUAGCCAACCAGAGGGAUCUCUCCUAGUGCACGUUUCUUCUGUCCACUGGAAAUGAUAGUAAGCAAUCUAAGCACCUUUCUUGCUGGCCAAACUGGAGAAGCACACAUCACAAAUACACACUGAGCCUCUUGCUUCUCAGAAUGGGAGAUCGAGGACACAACCAAGAAAUAGAGCAGCACUUGUGCUGCAUUGAAACACAGGACUCACACCAUCCUUUCCCCGCUGACAUGGGGGCAUGGCUGAAGUGCAUUAUAUGAGUAUGACUUGCUUUUCUUUUAAGGAAGGAUGGCCAAGUGGCAUUACCAUGAGAAUGAUCUUUGUCUGUCCAAUAUCAUCCUUGUGUAACAUCCAGGAAAAGACAGGGUAGGGUCCACAGCGUUCCUUAACAAGGAGGACAAAUUAAUUAAGGAGCCAAAGAGUUUAACGAGACAAAAUACUUAACGAGCCAAUUUUAAGAGGCAAACCCUACUAAUGAAGUACUUCAGAAAAAAUAUUGUCCGAGGUGAAACAAAUUGCCUGAAGGAAAGAAACUUUACUUUCUUGAUUUUAUUUUAUCUCUUAUUUUUCCUUUGAGGGGUGAAGACAAACAUACAUCUGACAUUCUAUUGGAGGGUAAUUUGCAAAGCCAAUCAGAACAAGCAGGACAAAGAAUUUAAGGAGAAAAAGAAUUUAAGGAGAGAAAGAACCUAACGACAAUUUGAAGAGCCGAUUUCUACUCACUUCAGAAGAGAUCCCAACUGAGGUGAAACAUAUCAUUGCCUGAAUGAUGGAGACUUUAGUUUCUUUCAUUCUAUUUAUUUGCUUAUUGAUUUAUUUUGGAGGGGUGGAGGAAAACAUAUAUCUGACUUAUUUUUAGAGGGUUAUUUGCAAGGCCAGUGUCAAGUGCAGGUUUAGUCUCCAGGAAACAAGGGUAAAGGUUGUGAGCUAGAUCCCUUCCAGCUCUAAAACACUAGACAGGGUCUGGUCUCACAAGUGGUGAACUGAGGGGAAGUAUGGCUUGCCUUGGGCUGUUUGAGAUAUUCCCUUGACCUGUUCAAGGGACUCUGCUGAUUCAACCAUCAUUAGGCUGCUUUAUGGCAAGGGCAUGCUGCUGGCACAUGUUCAACUUGGUAUCCACUGGGACCCCCAGAGCCUUUUCCACCAGCCUGCUUUCCUGGAACAUGGCAUUGUUCCUCCCCAGGUGAAGGACUUUGCACUUUUUCUUGUGGAACUCCAUGAGGAUCCUGUCAGCCCAUUUCUCCAGGUUCUCCAGAUCCUUUUGAUGACAGCAACACCUUCUGCUGUAGCCAACACUUCUCUAACCCACCCCCACUCCCGCUUUACAGUACCUGCUGAAUUACAGGGGGUGCACUCUCUCCCAUCAUUGAGAUUAUUUAUAAGGACAUGCAUCAAAGAAUAAAAGGAAUACCCAAGCUGGAAGAAACCCAUAUGGAUCAUCGAGUCCAACUCCUGGCUCCACACACAUCUAAAAAAACAUUCAGAGCAUGUGACUAAGAGCACAGCCCAAAUGCUUCUUAAACUCCAACAGGUCUG